rnacentral:rRNA from 1 species
CUCCAAUAGCGUAUAUUAAAGUUGCUGCAGUUAAAAAGCUCGUAGUUGAAUUUCGGGAUCAAUAUGUUGGUCGUGCCUUGGUACGUACUAGCUUAUUGAUUUCUCCUUUCUGACGAACCAUGAUGUCAUUAAUUUGGUGUCAUGGGGAAUCAGGACUGUUACUUUGAGAAAAUUAGAGUGUUUAAAGCAGGCUCGCGCUUGAAUACAUUAGCAUGGAAUAAUGAAAUAGGACAUUUGAUUCUAUUUUGUUGGUUUCUAGGAUCGAUGUAAUGAUUAAUAGGGAUAGUUGGGGGCAUUAGUAUUCAAUUGUCAGAGGUGAAAUUCUUGGAUUUAUUGAAGACUAACUACUGCGAAAGCAUUUGCCAAGGAUGUUUUCAUUAAUCAAGAACGAAAGUUAGGGGAUCGAAGACGAUCAGAUACCGUCGUAGUCUUAACCAUAAACUAUGCCGACUAGGAAUCAGACGAUGUUAAUU